rnacentral:rRNA from 1 species
AAUUUGAAAUCUGGCACUUUCAGUGUCCGAGUUGUAAUUUGAAGAAGGUAUCUUUGGGUCUGGCUCUUGUCUAUGUUUCUUGGAACAGAACGUCACAGAGGGUGAGAAUCCCGUGCGAUGAGAUGUCCCAGACCUAUGUAAAGUUCCUUCGAAGAGUCGAGUUGUUUGGGAAUGCAGCUCUAAGUGGGUGGUAAAUUCCAUCUAAAGCUAAAUAUUGGCGAGAGACCGAUAGCGAACAAGUACAGUGAUGGAAAGAUGAAAAGAACUUUGAAAAGAGAGUGAAAAAGUACGUGAAAUUGUUGAAAGGGAAGGGCUUGAGAUCAGACUUGGUAUUUUGUAUGUUACUCUCUCGGGGGUGGCCUCUACAGUUUACCGGGCCAGCAUCAGUUUGAGCGGUAGGAUAAGUGCAAAGAAAUGUGGCACUGCUUCGGUAGUGUGUUAUAGUCUUUGUCGAUACUGCCAGCUUAGACUGAGGACUGCGGCUUCGGCCUAGGAUGUUGGCAUAAUGAUCUUAAGUCGCCCGU